AUAGCAGGGAGGGGGGGGAGGCGAACUGCAGCCUGUGAUUCAGCGGAACAGGGUGUCCAUCCAUCUGUGCAUCGAGCAGGAAUUUAGGAGUGAGUAAAUAGGCCUAUUGAUUUUACAUCUGAAUCAUCAUAAUGGUUGAGAUUGAAAUGUCAACCCUAAAUAAAUGUUGAAUCACUAUUACUAUACCGAUGAAAAAUGACAAUAUAUGAGCAUCACAUUGGAAUAAUAUUGAUUUAUAGAUGUCCUACUUGAUUAAGCAUUGAUUUGUAGUUGACUGGGUAAUAAUUAUGUUGAAAAAUCAUCUAUUUAUAGUUGACCAGAAAUUACGUGAUAUUAAAAAAACAUUGAUUUAUAGUUGACCUGGAAAUAUGAUUGAAAAGUCAUUGAAUUAGUUGACCGGGAAAUAUGAUUGAAAAGUCAUCUAUUUAUAGUUGACUGGGAAAUGAUGUGAUGUUGAAAAGCCAUGGAUUUAAUGUUGACCGGGAAACAUGAUUAAAAAUUCAUUGAAUUAUUGUUGACCGGGAAAUAUGACGGGGAGACCAUCGCUUGGUGGAUCAACGUUCUUGAACCCCACGUCUUACAAGUCCACAUCAGUUUUCAGCCUCCAUAUUCAAUCUAUGACUGCAUUUAAAGUUAGACAAUUUAAAUAAAGUUCAACUAUAAACGUCAAUGGAUUCCACCACAGCCAGGCAGUCUACAUCUACAAUGAACUAGCGAAUUGGUAACAUUAGUGAAUUGAAAUGCCCUGACUGAACAAAUGGGGACAGAAGUCUUUGACUUUGCCCAGGCAGCACAAAAAUGGCCUCCUAUGCUCCAGACUGGAUGAGUGGACAGAGCAGAGCAGGAGUAGUGAAUUUGUUUUUUAUUACAUAAAUAAACUUGUAUUUUUUAAACUGA